GAUGAACGCUGGCGGCGUGCCUAAUACAUGCAAGUCGAGCGAACGGACGAGAAGCUUGCUUCUCUGAUGUUAGCGGCGGACGGGUGAGUAACACGUGGAUAACCUACCUAUAAGACUGGGAUAACUUCGGGAAACCGGAGCUAAUACCGGAUAAUAUUUUGAACCGCAUGGUUCAAAAGUGAAAGACGGUCUUUCUGUCACUUAUAGAUGGAUCCGCGCUGCAUUAGCUAGUUGGUAAGGUAACGGCUUACCAAGGCAACGAUGCAUAGCCGACCUGUGAGGGUGUUCGGCCACACUGGAACUUACACACGGUCCAGGCUCCUACGGGAGGCAGCAGUAGGGAAUCUUCCGCAAUGGUCGAAAGCCUGACAGAGCAACGCCGCGUGAGUGAUGACGGUCUUCGGAUCGUAAAGCUCUGUUAUUAGGGAAGAACAUAUGUGUAAGUAACUGUGCACAUCUUGACGGUACCUAAUCAGAAAGCCACGGCUAACUACGUG
rnacentral:rRNA from 1 species